UACGUAGGGCGCAAGCGUUGUCCGGAAUUAUUGGGCGUAAAGAGCUCGUAGGUGGCGUGUCGCGUCUGCCGUGAAAUCCCGAGGCUCAACCUCGGGUCUGCAGUCGAUACGGGCAAACUAGAGUAUUGCAGGGGAGACUGGAAUUCCUGGUGUAGCGGUGAAAUGCGCAGAUAUCAGGAGGAACACCGGUGGCGAAGGCGGGUCUCUGGGCAAUAACUGACGCUGAGGAGCGAAAGCGUGGGGAGCGAACAGG
rnacentral:rRNA from 1 species